UGUUAAAAAAUUUAUUCAUUUAUACUAUUAAAAAUUGAAAUAGAAGACAAAAUAACUUGAUAGUUAUAUGGUGUGCUGCGUUACCUCAUGUUGAUGUAUAAGGAUCAAUUUUAAACAGUAAAAAUAGAUGAAAAUUUCACAA
rnacentral:pre_miRNA from 1 species